GCCGCGGUAUUUUGACCGUGCAAAGGUAGCGUAAUCGUUUGUCUUUUAAAUGAAGACCUGUAUGAAUGGCUAGACGAGGGCUUAACUGUCUCCUUUUUCAAGUCAAUGAAAUUGAUCUCCCCGUGCAAAAGCGGGGAUAUGCCCAUAAGACGAGAAGACCCUAUGGAGCUUUAGAUGCCACAGCAAGCAUAGCUGCUACAUCCAAAUAAAGGAUGUAUCCACUAGCUUCUGCCUCAACAUCUUCGGUUGGGGUGACCAUGGGGAACGAAAAACCCCCACGUCUCUGUACUGGAGUCUCUAUUAAACCUAACAAACUCUUUCAAACAAGAGCCGCCGCUCUACUUAACAGAAUUUCUGACCAUUGAUCCGGCAAUGCCGAUUAACGAACCCAGUUACCCUAGGGAUAACAGCGCAAUCCCCUUCUAGAGUCCAUAUCGAUAAGGGGGCUUACGACCUCGAUGUUGG
rnacentral:rRNA from 1 species